rnacentral:sRNA from 1 species
GCUGGGUGCAGCAGUGUGCACCUGUAGUCCCAGCUAUGCAGGAGGCUGAGGUGGGAGGAUCUCCUGAGCCCACGAGGUUGAGGCUGCAGUGAGCUAUGAUCACACCACUGCACCCCAGCGUGGGCAACAAAGCAAGACCCCAUCUCUA